AACCCAUUUUCAUUCCCUCCAUUGAGAAAGAUGGAAGAGGCAAUUUCUGCAUCUUCUUUUUGAAUUAAACCCUUUUUCAUUCCCUUCAUAAUGCAAAUGGUGCAUCUGAAACUCAAUGGUAGGCAUCUUGAGAUUCAGUUUGGUGAUGAUGUGGGUACUCUGAAAGUCAGUGGUGCAUCUUACAUUCAGUUAAUUGGGUCUUGCUCCUUGUAAGUAUUCCAUGAAAAGAAACACACAAUAUUGUUUGGCAAGGAGGACCGGAAGCAAGUUCAAUAAGGUGAUUCUUAGGAGGCUCUUCAUGAGCAAGAUUAACAAGCCUCCACUUCCUUUCUUGAGGCUGAUUUUUUAUGCCGAAGGAAAGGACGAUUAGACUGUUGUCCUUGUGGGUACUAGUUACCGACAAUGUUUGGGCUUAUGAGGUUCCAGAAUUGAAGGUGUGUGCUUUGAGGUUCACAAUGACAGUCAGGGCAAGGAUUGAGAAGGCUGGUGGUGAAUGCUUGACACUCGAUCAGUUGGCUCUUAGGCUCCUCUUGGACAAAACACGAUGUAGAGGUACCUGUUGGUGAAUUUGGCUACUAUAGGUAGUUGUUGAUGAGUAUAUAAGUGCUGAAUGGUAUCAAGUGUGGCUCGAUUUAGAGAGGUAGUGUGCUGUACACUUUGCCUCCCUAUAUAUGUGUCUAACCUGGAAGAAGUUCUAGCUGGUCAAUCUUACAUUUUAAAGCUCCGUAUGAACUGCUGCAUAUCCAGCUGAAGACACCAAUAAACCUCAUGUAAAGCUGCUUGAAUUUUUGCUUGGUUGUUAGUUCCUAUGCCUAAGGGAAUGGUAAAAGCAUAGACUAUAUGUUGCCUGGUAGUCUCUUAAAA